rnacentral:tRNA from 1 species
UACGAACUAGAUUUUGCUAAUAAUCCCAAGUUUUGUAAACUUAGAAAAAAAAAAUUAGCUU